GUUCCUCUACAGCCGGUCACUUCCACAACAUCUACCAGUCCCACUGCUACAGUAUCUUUACAGCCGGUCACUUCCACAACAUCUACCAGUCCCACUACAGACUCUUUACAGUCGGUCACUUCCACAACAUCUACCAGUUCAACAUCUACUGGUGAGGAUGAUUCUAGACUGA